CCUCUCGUGAGUUGCUCCUGGUGCUCUUCUUUUGUUUGGUUUCGCUGGAAAAGCUGGUGUUGACGUGCGGUGGUAUUGGCUGUAGCUUUUGCUGUGGUAGGUUUGUGCUCUUGGCCUUACUUUGUAGACUUUUUUUUUUGGAAGGGUGCCAGAUGGCUGGUGUAGGUGAGGUCUAUGAUGUAGGGCUCCUUUGGCUUCGUUCGUAGCGGUAAUCUCUUCCAAAGGUUUCCACUGUGUUGUCAUUGUCUCGAGGAUUGAUCCAUUGAUAUCCUUGUGGUUUCCUUCAUGCAACCGAUGCAUCAAAACCGCGCUUCCAGAUGGAAAUGACUAUAAGUGUGCGCACUGUGGUUGUACUGGCUCUACAUUCAAGUAAUAAUUGAUUUGUUCGUGCAAGAGAACACCUUAUAAUUCUUUUGUUCAAACUUAGAUGACCAAGUUGUUAUUACAAUUACCUAAUGCUUG